UCGCAAGAGAGCCGGAACACAGGUGCUGCAUGGCUGUCGUCAGCUCGUGUCGUGAGAUGUUGGGUUAAGUCCCGCAACGAGCGCAACCCUUGUCAUUAGUUGCCAUCAUUUGGUUGGGCACUCUAAUGAGACUGCCGGUGACAAACCGGAGGAAGGUGGGGAUGACGUCAAGUCCUCAUGGCCCUUAUGGGUAGGGCUUCACACGUCAUACAAUGGUCGGUACAGAGGGUUGCCAACCCGCGAGGGGGAGCUAAUCCCACAAAGCCGAUCGUAGUCCGGAUCGCAGUCUGCAACUCGACUGCGUGAAGUCGGAAUCGCUAGUAAUCGUGGAUCAGCAUGUCACGGUGAAUACGUUCCCGGGUCUU
rnacentral:rRNA from 1 species